UUCGGGGAGGAAAGUCCGGGCAGCAUAGGGCAUCCUGCUUCCUAACGGGAAGGCGCCAUCCGGAUGGGCGACAGCAAGUGCCACAGAAAAUAAACCGCCCGAAGCAGUUUGGGUAAGGGUGAAAACGUGCGGUAAGAGCGCACGGCCUGGCAUGGCAACAUGCCUUGCGGUAAACCUCAGGAGCUGAAAGGCCAAAUAGGUUCUGGUAGUUAUAAAAAGUGGCUCGCUUUUGUUGCUUCGGCAACGCCAGAACGGGUAGGCUGAUGGAGGUGAUGAGCGAUCAUCAUCCAAGAUAAAUGGCAGAAACCUGGGCAACCAGGCACAGAACCCGGCUUACAGGUUUGCUAUCCGG
rnacentral:RNase_P_RNA from 1 species